AGAGUACUAGGGAAUUCAAAUAUGGGCCUACCUACAGGGAAAAAACGGAUGAUUGACCAUUGUUUGAACAGGUUAAGAGCGCCUCUUCUGAUUGGCCUACCGUGUGGUGCUGGAGUGGGAGAGCGCCUCCUCUGAUUGGCCUACCGUGUGGCGCUGGAGUGGGAGAGCACCUCCUCUCGGUCACUGACUACAGGCACUGAGUAGAAGGAUGGCCCAUGUUGACAAAUCCUGAAGUAGAAUACUGUGGAGUUUAAACUACUUGACCAUAUCCAUGUAGAAGUCCAAGGGCCUAAACAUUGUUCAUACACUGGAUGACAUUAUUUCCAGGAUUAAAGAAACCUUCAGAGCUGUUGUCAAGACCCAUUGAAGAAGAGAUGUCUCUCUUGAGUUCAGCCGUCAUCCUUGAUAGGGAGGGGCAACUGUUGUGAAAACAGGGCCCUGAUGAAUACCGUGUGAAUGGGGUAUGAGCAGCACAUAAGAUAACACAGACGUCACUGGACAAGAUGACUAGAAAGGCACUUCCCCACCAGCAGUGCUGGCUUCUUUAAUUAGCAUUAAUGUUUCAAUGCUUUGUGAGCGCCUUUGUCAGAUUUUUGAAUGAAUAGUAAGUGGAUGCAUUUUAGUGAAUGACUUUUGAGAGUUGUUUGAGGGGGGCUGAUACUGUUUGACUUUUGAUCUCAAUGAUUCAAAGCCUGAGUUCAUUUCUGUGGGCGGUGAACACUGACAUUGAUCAAUGACAGUCGUUGCCCAGAGUGAAACAGAUAUGGAGAAUAUUGUUUGGAAAAUCCACUAGGUCAGUUGAGUGCCUCUCCUAGGAUGCCCUUCAUCAAAAAUAUCAGGGGAAAAAACCCUAAAACAAAUUCCCUCUGUUGUCCUGUGGCUGUCUUCUUAUCCCCACACAACCUUUGUUUUUUUUCCCCAGAACGCCACACUUAGCUUCCAAUGAUUUUUGUCUCCUUUCCAAACUUGAGCAAAGCAGAAUGCUGAGUCCCAGUUGAGCCCCCAAGACUACUGGCAUUAGGGUUCAUCAUUGGAGAUGCAGUCUGUUUUGAACUUUAGAGAAUUCCCUCCCGUGUAAUACAAAUGAUGGCUUUGCUCCAAAUGGCUGAAUGCCACCCAGAGAUGAUUUUCUUUGCUGUUGCUGCUCUGUAGGGGCUUAGCAUAUUCUCUGUGAAAGUGAACAGUGGCUGAUGAGGUGGGAGAACGAGAGUGACGAGAUUCAACACUGGCUGCCACCUAAUGCCGUCCUGUGCACAACACGUCUGCAAGAGUCACAUUUGAAAUUACAAUGCGGUUAUUUCAGUCUUGAGUCAUUCGAGAUGUGUGUCCCUUGGUGUAGCGGUUAAGAUGGUGACCUGUCGUGUUUAUUUUAUCAUGCCCACAUAGGCAGUGGUGUGACGCUGUUUCUGGGAUAUCACUCCACUGUCUGAUAUGGUCAUAUUAAUUAGCUGAGUUCCAUAUUUUUAGGAAGCUAAUUAUGCAAGGAACAUGAUUUCAGUCUUAUCUGGAUAAGACUGAGUGGAAUAUCUUGAUACUCUUGCUCAGCGCGUUCUGUGUAAUUGUAAUUACUACUGUAUGGUAUGGAUAGAACACCAGCAAAUUGACUGAGAUUAAAAAAAAUCAUUAUCAGUCUCUAAUGAACAUGCUUUGUUAGCUCAUAUGUUAUUAUGAACACAAUGAACCAAAUUUAACUCACAACGCCAGCAGAUUGCUGCUAACAAUUAGUGGAAGAUGUCUGCCUGUUGUCCCAAAUGCCAAACAUCCAGUCAGUUGAUGUCAGUGAUGCUGACUAAUGUAUCCUCCUGAGUAGACCCAGGUUAAGAUAUUGUGUUUAGACCAACACUUUGACUUUUAAUUAAAUGUAUGUGGACAAAUUUGCCGAUAAGAAAACGUGUGUACAAUAUUUAUUUCAUGAGAUGACUAGCAAUUCAUUCAAGCCUUCACUCAUCCUUUGGAGAGUAAAAUUGUGCUGGGUCGGCCCUGACCUCCUUCUAUCUUUACAUUCAUAAGUUGUGAGAUGAUCUCCUUUGAUGUGGAAUAAUACAUUUAGAAAAGAGUGGAUGCCGUUCAGAUUCCAUUACUGCGAUGUUAAAACUACACUAAGAAUGAAAGUGGUUUGGCCGUCUUGCCAUUACAAUCAUCUGAAAUUAGCUGUGGGGUUUGCGUGAUGAAAUCCAUCACUUUUCCCCCAAUGUCGCACACACUUGUACCAUCAGUCACCCUUCAGGUGGAGCACUGAGUAGUUUCAGUGCAGACCUGCUCUGAGCCAUUAUGAUUUAGACAGGGAGUUCUGUGAUGAGCAUUUGAUUAUUGAUAUCAAUAUGUUAUGGAUGUUGCCGUUUUCUUCCUUUUUUCUGCAGUUUUCUGUGCUUGUAGUCAUAAUUUUAAGGACUUGAGUGUGAAGGAUUUGUGGGUAAGGAAGGUUUUGUGAGGUUCCAUGCAUUGCCAUUUUUUUUUUUUUACACAAAUGAUCGUUUUAAAUAGUUUCAAAUAAUUGGAAAUGUGCAAUUAGGCUUCCUUUAGGUUCAGACUUACAUUUGUAAAUAUCGCCUUGCUCAUAUUUGGGGUUUUGAUGCCAAUUUAGACAGCUUAGAUUAAUCUUCAUCUUUGUUCAUCACUUAAUGAUGGUAUACCAAUAAACAGGAAUGUCGUGGCAAUGCAUUGCUAUGUGAUCGUAAAUAUCCCAGAACAGAAUGGUCAACAGCAACAGCUUUUGUGAGACAGCCAUCGGUUGUAGUCCUGCAUUAGCCUUGUGCAGAGGUCCUCCUCCCUGGGAUCUGUUACAGUGUACUAGUCAUCCAUGAGGUUUGUUUCUCUAUGAUGAUGGAGAGCAUGUGCAGCUGGGUCCAUGACCACAGAGUAAGCCAAGGGCCAGCCUUGCCCACAGUGAAUAGAUUAAAGGGGCC